rnacentral:rRNA from 2 species
GGGUUGUGAGGUUAAGCGACUAAGCGUACACGGUGGAUGCCCUGGCAGUCAGAGGCGAUGAAGGGCGUGCUAAUCUGCGAUAAGCGCCGGUAAGGUGAUAUGAACCGUUAUAACCGGCGAUACCCGAAUGGGGAAACCCAGUGUGACUCGUCACACUAUCAUUAACUGAAUCCAUAGGUUAAUGAGGCGAACCGGGGGAACUGAAACAUCUAAGUACCCCGAGGAAAAGAAAUCAACCGAGAUUCCCCCAGUAGCGGCGAGCGAACGGGGAGGAGCCCAGAGCCUGAAUCAGCAUGUGUGUUAGUGGAAGCGUCUGGAAAGGCGCGCGAUACAGGGUGACAGCCCCGUACACAAAAGCGCAUGUGCUGUGAGCUCGAUGAGUAGGGCGGGACACGUGGUAUCCUGUCUGAAUAUGGGGGGACCAUCCUCCAAGGCUAAAUACUCCUGACUGACCGAUAGUGAACCAGUACCGUGAGGGAAAGGCGAAAAGAACCCCGGCGAGGGGAGUGAAAAAGAACCUGAAACCGUGUACGUACAAGCAGUGGGAGCACAGGUUUACCUGUGUGACUGCGUACCUUUUGUAUAAUGGGUCAGCGACUUAUAUUCUGUAGCAAGGUUAACCGAAUAGGGGAGCCGGAGGGAAACCGAGUCUUAAUUGGGCGUUAAGUUGCAGGGUAUAGACCCGAAACCCGGUGAUCUAGCCAUGGGCAGGUUGAAGGUUGGGUAACACUAACUGGAGGACCGAACCGACUAAUGUUGAAAAAUUAGCGGAUGACCUGUGGCUGGGGGUGAAAGGCCAAUCAAACCGGGAGAUAGCUGGUUCUCCCCGAAAGCUAUUUAGGUAGCGCCUCGUGAAUUCAUCUCCGGGGGUAGAGCACUGUUUCGGCUAGGGGGCCAUCCCGGCUUACCAACCCGAUGCAAACUGCGAAUACCGGAGAAUGUUAUCACGGGAGACACACGGCGGGUGCUAACGUCCGUCGUGAAGAGGGAAACAACCCAGACCGCCAGCUAAGGUCCCAAAGUCAUGGUUAAGUGGGAAACGAUGUGGGAAGGCCCAGACAGCCAGGAUGUUGGCUUAGAAGCAGCCAUCAUUUAAAGAAAGCGUAAUAGCUCACUGGUCGAGUCGGCCUGCGCGGAAGAUGUAACGGGGCUAAACCAUGCACCGAAGCUGCGGCAGCGACGUUUAUGCGUUGUUGGGUAGGGGAGCGUUCUGUAAGCCUGCGAAGGUGGCCUGUGAGGGUUGCUGGAGGUAUCAGAAGUGCGAAUGCUGACAUAAGUAACGAUAAAGCGGGUGAAAAGCCCGCUCGCCGGAAGACCAAGGGUUCCUGUCCAACGUUAAUCGGGGCAGGGUGAGUCGACCCCUAAGGCGAGGCCGAAAGGCGUAGUCGAUGGGAAACGGGUUAAUAUUCCCGUACUUGGUGUUACUGCGAAGGGGGGACGGAGAAGGCUAUGUUGGCCGGGCGACGGUUGUCCCGGUUUAAGCGUGUAGGUGUGUGUUCCAGGUAAAUCCGGUUCACUUUAACACUGAGGCGUGAUGACGAGGCACUACGGUGCUGAAGCAACAAAUGCCCUGCUUCCAGGAAAAGCCUCUAAGCAUCAGGUAACAUCAAAUCGUACCCCAAACCGACACAGGUGGUCAGGUAGAGAAUACCAAGGCGCUUGAGAGAACUCGGGUGAAGGAACUAGGCAAAAUGGUGCCGUAACUUCGGGAGAAGGCACGCUGACACGUAGGUGAAGUGAUUUACUCAUGGAGCUGAAGUCAGUCGAAGAUACCAGCUGGCUGCAACUGUUUAUUAAAAACACAGCACUGUGCAAACACGAAAGUGGACGUAUACGGUGUGACGCCUGCCCGGUGCCGGAAGGUUAAUUGAUGGGGUCAGCGCAAGCGAAGCUCCUGAUCGAAGCCCCGGUAAACGGCGGCCGUAACUAUAACGGUCCUAAGGUAGCGAAAUUCCUUGUCGGGUAAGUUCCGACCUGCACGAAUGGCGUAAUGAUGGCCAGGCUGUCUCCACCCGAGACUCAGUGAAAUUGAACUCGCUGUGAAGAUGCAGUGUACCCGCGGCAAGACGGAAAGACCCCGUGAACCUUUACUAUAGCUUGACACUGAACAUUGAGCCUUGAUGUGUAGGAUAGGUGGGAGGCUUUGAAGCGUGGACGCCAGUCUGCAUGGAGCCGACCUUGAAAUACCACCCUUUAAUGUUUGAUGUUCUAACGUGGACCCGUAAUCCGGGUUGCGGACAGUGUCUGGUGGGUAGUUUGACUGGGGCGGUCUCCUCCUAAAGAGUAACGGAGGAGCACGAAGGUUGGCUAAUCCUGGUCGGACAUCAGGAGGUUAGUGCAAUGGCAUAAGCCAGCUUGACUGCGAGCGUGACGGCGCGAGCAGGUGCGAAAGCAGGUCAUAGUGAUCCGGUGGUUCUGAAUGGAAGGGCCAUCGCUCAACGGAUAAAAGGUACUCCGGGGAUAACAGGCUGAUACCGCCCAAGAGUUCAUAUCGACGGCGGUGUUUGGCACCUCGAUGUCGGCUCAUCACAUCCUGGGGCUGAAGUAGGUCCCAAGGGUAUGGCUGUUCGCCAUUUAAAGUGGUACGCGAGCUGGGUUUAGAACGUCGUGAGACAGUUCGGUCCCUAUCUGCCGUGGGCGCUGGAGAACUGAGGGGGGCUGCUCCUAGUACGAGAGGACCGGAGUGGACGCAUCACUGGUGUUCGGGUUGUCAUGCCAAUGGCACUGCCCGGUAGCUAAAUGCGGAAGAGAUAAGUGCUGAAAGCAUCUAAGCACGAAACUUGCCCCGAGAUGAGUUCUCCCUGAGACUUUAAGUCUCCUGAAGGAACGUUGAAGACGACGACGUUGAUAGGCCGGGUGUGUAAGCGCAGCGAUGCGUUGAGCUAACCGGUACUAAUGAACCGUGAGGCUUAACCUUACAACGCCGAAG